UUCUAGCUUGCUAGAAGAUGACGAGCGGCGGACGGGUGAGUAAUACUUAGGAAUCUACCUAGUAGUGGGGGAUAGCUCGGGGAAACUCGAAUUAAUACCGCAUACGACCUACGGGAGAAAGGGGGCAGUUUACUGCUCUCGCUAUUAGAUGAGCCUAAGUCGGAUUAGCUAGAUGGUGGGGUAAAGGCCUACCAUGGCGACGAUCUGUAGCUGGUCUGAGAGGAUGAUCAGCCACACCGGAACUGAGACACGGUCCGGACUCCUACGGGAGGCAGCAGUGGGGAAUAUUGGACAAUGGGGGCAACCCUGAUCCAGCCAUGCCGCGUGUGUGAAGAAGGCCUUUUGGUUGUAAAGCACUUUAAGCAGUGAAGAAGACUCCGUGGUUAAUACCCACGGACGAUGACAUUAGCUGCAGAAUAAGCACCGGCUAACUCUGUGCCAGCAGCCGCGGUAAUACAGAGGGUGCAAGCGUUAAUCGGAAUUACUGGGCGUAAAGCGAGCGUAGGUGGCUUGAUAAGUCAGAUGUGAAAUCCCCGGGCUUAACCUGGGAACUGCAUCUGAUACUGUUAGGCUAGAGUAGGUGAGAGGAAGGUAGAAUUCCAGGUGUAGCGGUGAAAUGCGUAGAGAUCUGGAGGAAUACCGAUGGCGAAGGCAGCCUUCUGGCAUCAUACUGACACUGAGGCUCGAAAGCGUGGGUAGCAAACAGGAUUAGAUACCCUGGUAGUCCACGCCGUAAACGAUGUCUACUAGUCGUUGGGUCCCUUGAGGACUUAGUGACGCAGCUAACGCAAUAAGUAGACCGCCUGGGGAGUACGGCCGCAAGGUUAAAACUCAAAUGAAUUGACGGGGGCCCGCACAAGCGGUGGAGCAUGUGGUUUAAUUCGAUGCAACGCGAAGAACCUUACCUGGUCUUGACAUAUCUAGAAUCCUGCAGAGAUGCGGGAGUGCCUUCGGGAAUUAGAAUACAGGUGCUGCAUGGCUGUCGUCAGCUCGUGUCGUGAGAUGUUGGGUUAAGUCCCGCAACGAGCGCAACCCUUUUCCUUAGUUACCAGCGGGUUAUGCCGGGAACUCUAAGGAUACUGC
rnacentral:rRNA from 1 species